rnacentral:rRNA from 1 species
CAGCAGCCGCGGGAAAACGAAGGGGGCUAGCGUUGUUCGGAUUUACUGGGCGUAAAGGGCGCGUAGGCAGACUGAUAAGUCAGGGGUGAAAUCCCAAGGCUCAACCUUGGAACUGCCUUUGAUACUGUUUGUCUUGAGUUCGAGAGAGGUAAGUGGAACUGCGAGUGUAGAGGUGAAAUUCGUAGAUAUUCGCAAGAACACCAGUGGCGAAGGCGGCUUACUGGCUCGAAACUGACGCUGAGGCGCGAAAGCGUGGGGAGCAAACAGGAUUAGAUACCCGUGUAGUCCCUGUCUCUAUACA